UACGUAGGUGACAAGCGUUGUCCGGAUUUACUGGGCGUAAAGAGCGCGCAGGCGGUCGUUCAAGUCGCGUGUGAAAGCCCCUGGCUCAACUGGGGAGGGUCACGCGAUACUGAUCGACUCGAAGGCAGGAGAGGGAAGUGGAAUUCCCGGUGUAGUGGGUAGAAAUGCGUAGAUAUCGGGAGGAACACCCGUAGCGAAGGCGGCACUCUGGGCCGGUACUGGACGCUGAGGAGCGAAAGCGGUGGGGAGCAAACAGGGAGUUAAGAUACC
rnacentral:rRNA from 1 species